UCGUUUCCUAAAUAUCGAUCAUGCGCGAUUUCUUAUGUGUGUGACCUAAUAGGUUCAAUUCUGUCUGGUAGUGAGAUAUGAUGCGAUCUCCAUCUACAUCAUCAUCGAAACUCCUUUCGAUGGCUCAAACUCUUUUGACUCUACCCUAAUAGAAUAAUUAAUUAUUAAUAAUUAUUUCUAUUGGUUCCCACAAUCCACCAGUGACGCCUAGCAGCAUGUAGUGGCAAUCCAGUCAGAAGUGAAUAUCGGACUGAACCUCUAGGUGCAGUUACCGUACAAUACAAUCCUUCUAUCGCAUAGUUCCAACUGAGUGGAGGUCAUGGAAUAUUCGUCAAACCCCAUCACCCGUCAUAUGACAAAUUUGAUCAGACAGAAGCUCUUAUGGUUACUCUUGGAAACAUCUUUCCAUACACCAUAUUACCCCGGCCGAGGAUUUCUGAGCUUUGCCUUACAAAUAGCAUAGAACUAAUUAUCUCUCUACCGAGAGCGAUAGAUCCCCUAUAAACACACACCCAUUCCUGAUAUGAACCGACUGCAGCCAACAUAUACUACUAAGACCCAUGGCUAGGAUCAGAGUUUGUUGCAUAGUCAAACUACAGUAGCCUCAUAUUGAAUGACCGUGGUGUCGCAGGUCUAAGGAUCAGUUGUACCACUGCAACAUCGAACCAGUUACUGACGAAUGAGUAGACAUCCAUGUAACUGUUCGUAGUUGGUCACGCUCAGUACCGUUGUUCUCCAACAACCACCUGCAUGUUCGCUCCAGUGUCCCCACACUGAUGACUCGAGAUUCGUCAUCCCAAAAGGGAAGCGGCACACACAUCAAUCUUACCGGAUCAAUCAUCGUCCCCAUGAUGAUCCUCCGAUUGAGAGCAUUUAUGAAUUAAUCACCAAUAAUAUGUAUCUCAAAUUCUCAACUCUUGAGAAUACAUAUUAUCAUCUUAUUAAUUCAAAGGACGAUUCAUGGACACAUUUAACAUGAAUGGAAUAAAAGGCCCAAUUAUAUAAAUAAUAAAGAUUAAGUACAAAAAUAUGUCCCAUAGAAAAUAAAAUGCGUCAGCCUGAUAGGCUUCUAGGGCAUACAACUAACAAUCUCCCACUUGCACUAAAGCCAAUCAGCCAUGUAUCUAAUGCCCAUCUUCUCAAGAUGAUUCUCAAGUUUCUGCUGAGUCAAUGCCUUAGUUAGCGGGUCCGCCACAUUAUCCGUGGAGGCAACCUUCUGCACUUCAAUAUGUUUAUCCUUGAUGUACUCUCUGAUCUUGUGAUACCGCCGCUCAAUGUGCUUGGAUUUCUGAUGAGACCUUGGCUCUUUAGCUAAUGCUACGGCGCCAUUAUUAUCACAGUAUAGUGAUAGGGGAUCCUUACUAGAAGGAACCACGCCAAGCUCAGCGACAAAUUUCUUGAUCCAAACAGCUUCCUUGGCAGCUUCAGAUGCAGCGAUGUACUCCGCUUCCAUAGUAGAAUCUGCAAUCGUCUCUUGCUUGGAACUUUUCCAAACUAUUGACCCACCAUUGCAAAUAAACAGAUACCCAGACGUAGACUUUCUAUCGUCUAUAUCAGACAUAAAGUCCGAAUCCGCAUAGCCAUUAAUUCUGAGUUCUCCUCCUCCAAAAACCAAGGACAUAUCCUUUGUUCUUCUCAAGUACUUAAGGAUAUUCUUUACCGCUACCCAAUGUUCCUGUCCUGGGUUCGACUGAUAUCGGCUCGUGACACUCACAGCCUGUGCUAUAUCAGGUCGAGUACAUAGCAUCGCAUACAUUAAGCUCCCUAUUGCUGAAGCAUAAGGGAUCCUGCUCAUGUGACUUCUCUCUUCAGGUGUCUUAGGAGACAUAGUCUUAGAGAGGUGAAUUCCAUGUCUUAGAGGUACCAUACCCCUUUUGGAAUUCUCCAUGCUGAACCUUUUCAGCACUUCAUCUAUGUACAUAGCUUGCGAUAAACCAAGCAACUUCUUAGGUCUAUCCCUAUAGACCUUUAUCCCUAGGAUAUAAGAUGCUUCUCCAAGGUCUUUCAUAGAAAACUCUUUAGAUAACCAUAACUUGACCGAUGUUAGCAUAGGAAUGUCAUUCCCAAUCAGGAGUAUGUCAUCCACGUACAGUACGAGGAAAGUAACAGCACUCCCACUAAUCUUUUUAUAUACACACGGCUCUUCCUCAUUUCUGAUGAAAUUGAACGAUUCAAUUGCAUCAUUGAAACGAGUGUUCCAACUCCGAGAAGCUUGCUUCAAUCCAUAAAUGGAUCGUUGAAGCUUGCACACCUUAUGACUCUCAUCUUUGGAAGUGAAACCCAAAGGCUGCUCCAUAUAGAUAUCUUCUUCAAGAUAUCCAUUUAGGAAGGCAGUUUUCACAUCCAUUUGCCAGAUCUCAUAGUCAUAGUGUGCAGCAAUAGCAAGCAGAGUUCUGAUAGACUUAAGCAUAGCUACGGGUGAAAAGGUAUCCUGAUAGUCAAUGCCUUCGCGUUGACUAUAACCUUUUGCUACUAGCCUAGCUUUAUAGGUCUCUACCUUUCCAUCAGAACCAAUCUUUCUCUUAAAGAUCCAUUUACAUCCAAUAGGUACAAUACCCUCCGGUGGAUCAACCAAAGUCCAUACUUGAUUGGAGUACAUUGAGUCCAUUUCGGACUUCAUAGCUUCCAACCAUUUAUCGGAGUCGAUGUCUGACAUCGCCUCGCUAUAAGUCUUAGGAUCAUCUCUAUGGUCCUUAUCUCCCAUUAGGAACAUUUCCUCCAUCUCCUCUAUAAAUAAUCCCAUGUAUCUAUCAGGAGGACGGGAGACCCUACUAGACUUGCGAGGUGGCGGUGUAACUUCAAGUGUCACAGAGUUAUCAGGGAGGGCUCUUGGAAUAUUUGAUUCUAAAGAGACUUUCUCCUCUAGUUCUAUUUUUCUCCCACUGCCUCCAGCCAAAAUAAAUUCACUUUCAAGAAAGAAGGCAUGACGGCUCACAAUCACAUUAUGGCCUUCUGGGAGAUAAAAAUAGUAUCCAAGUGAUUCUUUGGGAUACCCAAUGAAUCUACCCUUGACUGAUCUGCUUUCCAACUUGUCCGUCUUUAAUUUCUUAAUAUAAGCUGGACAUCCCCAAGUUUUAAUAUGAGUAAAACUUGGCUUCCUACCAUGCCACAUCUCAUAUGGUGUGGUCGGAACAGAUUUGGAAGGCACUCUGUUUAGAAUAUAAAUAGCCGUAAGAAGUGCGUAACCCCAAAACGAUAUAGGUAAAUCUGUAAAGCUCAUCAUGGAUCGAACCAUAUCUAAUAAAGUUCGAUUUCUCCGUUCAGACACCCCAUUCAAUUCUGGUGUUCCAGGAGGAGUCCAUUGAGAGACAAUACCAUUAUCCUUGAGAUAGGUUAGGAAAUCCGUACUAAGGUAUUCCCCUCCUCGAUCUGAUCGAAGAGCCUUAAUUGGUUUUCCCAUUUGCUUUUCUACUUCUUGUCUAAACUCUUUAAACUUUUCAAAGGCUUCAGACUUGUGUUUAAUUAAGUACACGUACCCAUACCGUGAAUAAUCAUCAGUAAAGGUAAUGAAGUAGAGAUAGCCACCCCAAGCAGACACAUCGAAUGGUCCACAUACAUCAGUAUGUAUUAGGGCGAGUACUUCAGUAGCUCUCUCUCCUUGUCCAACAAAAGGAGACUUAGUCAUUUUUCCUUGAAGACAUGAUUCACAAGCUGGGUAUGGUUCAGAGGGUAAGGACCCUAAGACACCAUUCUUAGCCAACUUGUUAAUCCUAUCUUCUCCAAUGUGACCAAGUCUAAGAUGCCACAAAUACGUUUUAUUUACCUCCUCUCUUGGUCUUUUGAAACCAAUGAUAUUCUCAUUCAUGCCAUUAUCAAUUGUAUUAACACUAACAUCCAUAUGUAAGUGAUAGAGAUUGUCAAUUAAAGAACCAUAACCGAUCAAAUUAUUUCUCAAAUAAAUUGAACAAACGUUUGAUUCAAAAAUAAACUUAUAACCAUCCAUUACCAAACGUGAAAUAGAAAUAAGGUUUCUAGUCGCACUAGGAACAUAAAGACAAUCUCUAAGUUCUAAAACUACUCCUGUCGGUAGACAUAAAGGAUAAGUCCCCACGGCAACAGCAGCAACUCUUGCUCCGUUUCCAACGCGUAGGGUAAGCUCUCCAUCCUUAAGUCUUCUACUUUGUUUUAGCCCUUGCAUUGAAAUACAUAAAUGCGAGGUGCAUCCAGAGUCAAUGACCCAUGUGAAAGUAGAACAAACCGAUAAGUUAGUAGUUUCAAUGACAUGAAUCUCAGACAUCUUAGCCCUGCACAGUCGCUUCGACACCUCGUAGCGAGCUGUUCGACUUUCUUCAUCAUACAACUCCUUGAGAUGAAGUAGAAUAUCAGCAGCACUCUCCAUGUGCUCAUGCUGGCGUUGCAACUCAUUGCUCAUAGACGCAAGCAUGUAACAUUUUACCUUCAUAUCGUCAUCAGUCCAUUUAUUUCUUGCAGCUGUUUGUUGAGCCGUCGAAUUUUCGGGCACCGCUGGAGCCUCCGUGUCCAACACAUAGGCUAGUUUCUCAAAAUUGAGAACAAUUCUCAAUUUCCUCAGCCAAUCGGUGAAAUUCGGUCCAGUUAAGCAAUUAAUAUCAAGUAUUUUGGCAAGUGGGUUAGAUGCAGCCAUUUUCUGUAGAAGGUUAAGAUUCUAAUUAGUUGUGUACUUAAUCAUAAUCCAUUUGAUUAGGGUCUUUAAAUCUAAAUGGUGCCUCCCACUAAUUUUGGCGAAUCUCCACACUCCCCGAGCGGAGAAAACGGAAACUUUACUUAAAAGUUUCUAGUGGGUAUUGCGGUCCCAUCUGUUUACACACCACCUCAUCCUGACAGAUUCUUGGCAAUGAGCAAACAAAUAAGUGAACAACUCUUGUUCAAUGCUUCUCAAGCAAAUUGCAAUCUAAUCCUUGGCCUCCAUAAGAUAUAGGCCUCAUCCUGACAGAUUCUUGGCUUUAUCUCGUGGUUAAGUUAGACCCACCGUUCAUCGUGCAAAUAAGAAUGUCAUUGAAUCCUCAUCCUGACAGAUUCUUGGAUCCAACCCCUUUCUUACCGCACAGCAUCUCAUGCCAAUAGAAUGGUUGCGGCUCCCUAAUGCAACUGACCCCCGUAUCCGGGUGCAUCAAUCAACACUAAAGAGACGCCCACACCCUACAACGGUGGAAGGCCACUAAUGGGUUCAUAACACCAUUAACUUAAUAUUUUAUUUAGGGAGAUUAGUUGUCUCAUCAGUUUUAAUUUAUUAUUAAUUUACAUCUCAUGCAAACCAUCACAUCACAUGCAUACAUACAUCGCAUAUAAAAAAAUAACUACCGGUGAUGAUCAUGGAUUUUAUCUUGAUUCGGGCCUGAGCCACUAGGCCGGAAUCGGGUCAUAAGGGUAUUACACACAAGAAAACCUUUUCUUAUUCUGCGUCUCGAUCGGAUUUGAGUUGAUCAACUCUUGUCUUCUCCCUUGAUCAGCAUCUGGUCCAAACUUGAUCCGCAUCGCAUCAACUCUUGAAUACAACGAAUCCCUCUGGAACCUAAACUACCCUUUUGCCUUCUUAAUUUUACAACAAUAACUUUACAACCCAUAAAAUUAAUGAGACACGCAGGUCUCCAAAUUACAUAAUUUAAUUGGCACGCGCAGGCACCAAAAUAUAUAAUCUAAUACUGGAUCCUUAUUAAAUUACAAAAAUUCACAUCAUCACAUGAUACAUGCACAUCACAAGAUCGCUAUCCAUGAUCAUCACCUCAUAUACAUCACAUGCAUAUAAUAACAAAUUCUCUAAUUCGAAUUCUAAUUAAUUGGGUUUCGGAUUAAUUUAAAAUAAAUCUUUAUUUAUUUCAAGAAUCGCAAUUUUCGUAAAAUUAUUACAAAAGAUCUAAUACAUCUUAUGUAUUAAAUUUUAAAAUUUAAAACUAAUUUAAAUUGCGAUUCUGCGCUGCAUGACCACAUGUCGCAUUCCAUCUGCAUGCGCAAGCACUACAUGAAAAAGCAUUCGUGCAUGGCACACGACCUUUGCAUCAUGAACUAAUUAAUUAGUGCUCUAUGCACUAAUUUGUCAUGCAUGGCCACCCAAGAUAAAUGGAUGACGUGUAAUGCAUGAAACAUUAGCAUGUGCAUGCAUGUCAUCUCAAUGACGAGUAAUGCAUGACAAUUGCCUCGGCCGCAUGCCGAGCGUCAUAGCCGCGUGAAUAGCACAUCGCGCGUUGAAUCGGUAAAAUAAAAUUAUAUUUUACUUGUGAUCUAAUUAACGUUUCGAAACCAUUAAAAAUUUGUUCAAAAACAAUCCUCAUUGUUUUUGAAUUCAAUCGUUCCGAAAAACCCAAUUAACAUCGAAAAAGAGAUUAGAUCUAAAACAAACGACGAGGAUGGCUCUGAUACCACUGUAAGAAAAUCAUGUGUACGCAGCGGAAGAAAAUAACACAAUUAAAAAUUUUCUUGAAAACCAAAGAUCACCUCGUAUUUCGUUUUAAAUCAUUAAUAAUAGAUCUAAUUGAUCUAAUCAAAUAGGAUCUAUAUUAUUUUAUUUUAUCUCGCGCGGGUCGAGAUCACCGCGAAGUCGACAAUCGUUGGUAAAAUUUGUUCGUCCUUGGUUAGCCGCGCACGUGCCCGGCCUCUACUUGCGUCCACACGAAAUCACGCCCUUAAUCGAAUUAGACGACUGCUUCAAUCCGUAAUCCGAUCACGAAUUAACCCUUGCGUCGACUUGAGGAAGAUGAAUCAAUCUUCUAGAUGUGCUAGCAACUUUUGAAGAUCGAAACCGAUGGAUUUAUUGUGGAGGACUUAAGAAAGAAAAAGGAUUGACGGCUAGGGUUUUCUUUUUCCUUUUUACUUAAUUUUCCAUUAAUUUUAAUAUGUCAUAUGACAUAUAUUUAUAAUGAGAAAACCCUAACGUAAUCCUAAUCGAAAUCCUAUUCCGAUUAGAUUAUCCAUUAACCCACAAGUUGGUUAUGAUAUUAACCGAAUUCCGAAUCCUAAUUCUAAUUCGAUUCGUGUGUAACAUUUACACAUAAGUCCUCAUAUUAUUUACUAACGAUUAGUAAAUACACCAUGCAACUUUUACACAUAAAUACCUCUAAUUUACAACAAUUGCAAAUUAGUCCUUUUACUAAUAAAUUAGUAAACUUUAGUAUUUAACUAUAUUGUAAUUAUAAUUAAUCCAUCCGAUAAACUUCUUUUAUCGUCUCCUAAAUAUCGAUCAUGCGCGAUUUCUUAUGUGUGUGACCUAAUAGGUUCAAUUCUGUCUGGUAGUGAGAUAUGAUGAGAUCUCCAUCUCCAUCAUCAUCGAAACUCUUUUCGAUGGCUCAAACUCUUUUGAUUCCACCCUAAUAGAAUAAUUAAUAAUUAUUUCUAUUGGUUCCCACAAUCCACCAGUGACGCCUAGCAGCAUGUAGUGGCAAUCCAGUCAGAAGUGAAUAUCGGACUGAACCUCUAGGUGCAGUUACCGUACAAUACAAUCCUUCUAUCGCAUAGUUCCAACUGAGUGGAGGUCAUGGAAUAUUCGUCAAACCCCAUCACCCGUCAUAUGACAAAUUUGAUCAGACAGAAGCUCUUAUGGUUACUCUUGGAAACAUCUUUCCAUACACCAUAUUACCCCGGCC
rnacentral:lncRNA from 1 species